CAAAAAUGUAGAAAUCAGGAUUGUAUUCUACUUUUACUUAUUUAAACUAUGUAAUUUGAAUAACGCAUUUCCAAACAAAGAUGUGAAUGAUGUUCAAGAAUACUGUAUAAUAAUUAUUAGUAGUCAAUAAUAUUAUCAUUUAUCAAUGUAUUGAUAAUAUUAUAUCGACAUUUUGGGUUUAUCAAUUUUGGCUAUAGACGAGAGUGCUGCAUGCCAUUUGGACAAUGCAUUUUGCAUUUGCAAUGGACCAACAGUUUUUUGAGGUUGUUUGUGUUUUGUAGUUUGUAAUUUUUGUGAUUUUAUCCAGGAAAUAUAGGAGCUGUGGUGAUGAAAUUUUCCAACACAAAAGAAAAAUACAUGGAAGCAGUACGGUAAUCAAAUACUGGCUGAAGUCUCCAAAAACUCGGUUUACCAGCAAAGAGAAAUCUAAAAAUGUUCAAACACCGGAUCCUGGAGGAAAAUCUGAAUGCUACAAAAAUUGAGAUUGAAUUGAGGUACAGUAACAUGAACCAGUAUGUAGCUCAAAAAAUUGCUACUUCAAACAGGAAGAGAUUAAAGUAUUCUGGAGCACCACAAUAAGGACCUUUCUUAAUAGAUAAAUGAUAUGCAUAUGAGUUAUUUUAAUAAACAAACUUCUCAUAUUAUUCAAGUCUUAACUAUUUACAUCCCUUAAUUUUUCAUCAAUAUGUCAAUAGACAUCUAUUCACUGAAUCCAAUUUACUUAACAUAUUAAUUAUAGAUAAUUAAACAGGUAUACUCUCUUGUCUAAUGCCAGUUGCAGCUGGGUUAAAAUAUCAUAAUACUUGCAAAUGUUAUCUUCAUCCUAAGCUGCUCUCCUAGAUUUAAAAGAGGAUUUUUUCUAUAAAGGAGACAGGCUGCUUAUAGAUGGCUCUUGAUCUGUAUUGAUAUCAUUAGGUAU
rnacentral:lncRNA from 1 species